rnacentral:lncRNA from 1 species
AAAUAAAUGGAAAGAAACUUUUAUUUAUAUCAAAUAAUUGAGUGUCUCGACUGUGUGACAUUAUGUCUUGUGUGGUAUGGGGCUGCAGCUCACAUUCAGGAAGAAAAGAAAAUAGCCAACAACUUCUGUCGUUUCAUCGAUAUUAAAUCCAAAAGUGUCGACUGGAUUUACAUGAAAAGUCAGUUCAAGAAGACGAGAUGAAAAAUUUAAAAGAAAAGCUGAACAAGUCCCGCCUCAAGAUCAAACGACUUAAUGAAAAAAAAAAAAACAAUGUGACAGGGUGUCACAAAGACAGUUUCUAAGCAAAUUGACACUGUUUAGAAAUUAAUAAAUUUGUAUUUAUUGUAAAUAUAAUGUACAUAAUUAAUAACGUGUGAAAUAAAUACUUGCUAAUGAACAGAUUUACGAUCUAAUUUAUAUUUCAUUUUACCUCCUUUUCUUAUUUACUCCUACUCCAACACUCCAGGUUGAUACGAACUGCGCCCAAUAAAGAAUGUAAUGAAUGUUAUAGAUUUGUGUAAGCGACUUAUUGGCGACUUAGAUAAAUCUUGACUAAACCUUCCUUUACAAAUACAAAUAUACUUUAUUGCACACAACAUACAAUACUUACAAGUUUUGCACGAAAGAUACAGUACACCACCUACCUACCUUUUACUUUCCCUUUCUGUUCUCUUAUGAAUACUUGUAUGCCGUAUUUUUUUAAGUAUAAUGCUAUAUCUAGUAGGUACGAGUAUGG